GCCGCAGUUGCCUUGACUUUGUUCACGUAGGCUCAGCAGCUUGAGACUGCAGCCCCAGAAUCGGCAGUGUCCUCAGUUGGCACCCAGAGGAGCUGUUGCAUUCUCCCCUUUAUUGUGGAGAUGGCUGCAGCAGGUGCUCUUGUCCUGGGGGAAGACAGCCAUUGAGAUUGGCAGAGGCUUAAGUAUGAAGUCAAAGGCAACACCUGAUAUCAGAAAGGGCCCAGGCAGCAGUGGGGAAGUCCUCAGCUGGAUCUUUGAGCCUUGGACGGAAUCAGCAGCAGGGGCUACUCUGAGCUUCCUCACAGCCUGGAGGUCUCCGGGGAGUAGACCUGCUUGUAUGGCAACUGAAGACCAAGAGAAAGAGUCCCAUGUGCUACAGACAGAAUGCUCGUGUGCCUCCGAAUUCAUAUGUUGAAACCCUAAUCCCCAAUGUGAUGGUAUUUGAAGAUGGGGAAGUUUGGGAGGUGAUUAGAGGUCAUGAGGGUCGAGCCCACCUGGUGGGAUUUGUGCACUUAUAAGAAGAGACCAGAGAGCCCCAUCUCUGUCUACCCCCUCCCUCCCUCUCUCUCCACCUGUCAUAUCAGGACAUAGCAAGAAGAUGGCCAUCUGCAAACCAGGAAGAGUGUUCUCACCAGACACCUGAUCUGCUAGCACCUUGAUCUUGGACUCCUCAGCCUCCAGAACUGUGAAACAUAAAUGUUCAUUGUUCAAGCCACCCCAUCUAUGGCAAUGUGUAACAGCAGCCCAAACUAACUAAUACACCAUGUUUCUGUACAUCAGCAAUGAAAAAUCCAAAAGGAAAUGAAGAAAAUAAUUCCAUUUACAGUAGUACAUAAAAGAAUAAAAUAUCUAUCAAUAAAUUUAACCCAGGAAGUGAAAGACUUGUAUACAGAAAACUACAAAACAUUGCAUAUAGAAAUUAAAGAAGACCUAAAUAAAUGGAAAGUUCACUUUCACCACCUGCCAUUGGUCAAAAUACUCAUAAAACCCUGCCCAGUUUCAAGGGGAGUGGACAAAGACAUCCCCAUAACCUGCCAUCUCUCAGUAGCGAACACCACAAAGGUCAUUAAUGCCUCUAGCAAGAGCUCCUUUAGUGGAGUGGUCGGGGCUCAGAUCAGACCACUAUGGGCGAGGAUAGGCAUAGACAACUUUACAGAAGGGCAUACAAUACCUGAAUCAAUGAAAAGAUAAGGCUCAUAGGUUGAAGGAACUCAUUUCCAGAUGAGACUUUGGACUUUGGAGUUAAUGCUGAAAUGAGUUAAGACUUUGGGGGACUAUUGAGAAGAGAGGACUAUAUUUUGCAAUGUGAAAAGGACAUGACAUUUGAGGGACCAAGGUGGAAUGACGUGCCCCUGCCAAAUCUCAUGUUGAAUUGUAAUCCUCAGUGUUGGAAUUGGGGUCUGGGGGGGGAUGUUUGAGUCAUGGGGGUGGAUCUCUCAUGGUUUGGUGCUGUCUUUGCAUUAUCAAGUGAGUUCUCACAAGAUCUGGUUGUUAGCCUGACCAACAUGGUGAAACCCUAUCUCAACUAAAAAUACAAAAAUUAGCGGGGCAUGGUGGCAUGCGCCUAUAAUCCCAGCUACUCAGGAGGCUGAGGCAGGAGAAUCGCUUGAACCAGGGAGGCAGAGGUUGCAGUGAGCCAAGAUCACGCCAUUGCACUCCAGCUUGGGUGACAGAGCGAAACUCCGUCUCAAAAAAAAAAAAAAAGUGUAUAGCACCUUCCCUUCACUCUCUCUCUUGCUCCCAGUCCUGCCAUAUGAGAUGCCUGUUCCCUCUUUGCCUUCUUCCAUGAUUGUAAGCUUCCUAAGGCCUCCCCAAAAGCAGAUGCCAGCACUAUGCUUCCUGUACAGCCUGAAGAACUGUGAACCAAUUAAACCUCUUUUCUUUAUAAAUU
rnacentral:lncRNA from 10 species